AUAGAGAAAAUCAUUCUAACUUUUAAACAAUUAACUGAUUAUCUGAAUUUUGUUAGUGUGUUUAAAUCACUCAACUCAAUCCCAACAAAUAAAAUGGACUCCAAAUCAAUUGUCGUUUAUGUCGCUCUCUUUGCUUCAGCCAUCGCAAUGGCUUUUGCUAACCCAGAGCCCGAACCUGAGCCACAACCAAUUUUAGGCGCUCUUCAGAAUAUCCUUGGUUAAUCAACGUAACAAUUGAAGAAAUAAGAAUAAAAGAAAAUUUUAUUCUGAUUGUAUUUUAAUUGUCGUGAAGAUUAUUAAGUUAAUAGCAACAGUUAUGGAUUAAUAAGAAUACUAAUAAAAUCAAAGCAUUUGAAACAAAUAAUUCGCUUAUCAAAUUAUUCAUAUUCUAUAUUAAGGUAUGUAUGGUAAAGUUUGGGAAUAAAAUUUUCAAACUAUUAUGGUUACUUUAAUUUCCAAUUAAAUUUCUUGAAAUUAUUAAUAAACUUUUGAGCUUCAAUUGGGUAUCUUUUCACGAAUAUUGCAUCAAAUCAAAGCAUCGAAAAUUCGAUUUUUCGAAUGUAUGUCGAAAAUAAAUUGUCAUAUUUUUCAGAGGUAGCUCUGAACAAAUGUUCCAAACUUUACCGUUCAUACCUUAUUAUUAAUGUAUUUCAAUGAAAACGUUUACAAAUACGCGAGUGAUUGACUCAACUUUGAAUAAUAUUUUCUAAUAAUCGAAUUUAAUUUUACAUAAAAAAAUUAUCAAAAGACUUGUUAGAAAUGUUCUAAGUAUCUUCGAGUGCUUCAGUCCUCAAAGAAAAUGCUAUUAAUAGUUGAUUGUCUGUCAACAAACUUGGAACAAGGGCGAUAUCAUUCAUCAAGAUUUCACGAGUUUACUGGAUUUGUUAUUGUGAUAUGUUGAUACCUCAAGAAGAGCAAUUAGUUACUAGUUGUAACAAAAGAGAAAUAGUAUUCUGAAUGACUAAUUAAUCAAAUCUUUUUGAUUGAAAGAUAUUCUAAUGAUACAAGUUCCUCUCGAUCUUAUAUUCGUAGCAACAAUUAUCUAGUAUUUAUCUCUAAGUAUAAAUGGAGAUAGACUCUCAUUCAUCAAUCAUUUAUCAUUAAUCUACAGUUUAAUUUUAAUUACUCAGUUUUUCAGCUUUUUAAUCAAUUAUUAUCGGAAACAUUUGUCUUUUACAUGAACAUGACUCACUAUAAUAUCACCCAUUUUCUUUCAGUAUAAAAGGAGAUGAAAUUGAAUAGGAAAAAUCAUUCUGACUCUUCAUCUGUUCAACAAACAAUUAACUGAUUAUUUGAAUUUUGUUCGUGUGUUUAAAUCACUCAACUCAAUCCCAAUAAAUAAAAUGGACUCCAAAUCAAUUGUCGUUUAUGUCGCUCUCUUUGCUUCAGCCAUCGCAAUGGCUUUUGCUAACCCAGAGCCCGAACCUGAACCACAACCAAUCAUGCAGUUGGUCAACGAUAUUCUCGGAUAAUUUGUCUUAUUACCGACAGCGACUAAUCAAAUAUUGAUUACGUUGAUACCUUCGAAUGGUCAUUAUGAUUUAUUAAUAGUUAAUUGCAGUUAUAAAUGUUGAUUAAUAAAUAAAGCAUUUAAAAAAGAAAAAA